rnacentral:lncRNA from 1 species
UGGUGGAAGAGCCUGAUCUUUCACAGCUAACUUAUCUCCAAGCCAUCGUCAAGGAGACACUCCGGCUGCAUCCUGCGGUACCGCUGCUGGUCCCCCACCAAUCCACCGAGGCGGUUAGCAAUGUAAUGGGGUACCAUGUUCCGCGCGGCACGACGGUGCUCAUCAACGCCUACACCAUCGCCAGAGACUCUACCGCCUGGGGUGACGACGCGCUGCUCUUCCGGCCCGAGAGAUUCCUUGGCACAGAUCUGGACAUCCGGGGCAGGGACUUCGAGGCGGUGCCGUUUGGAUCGGGGCGGCGACAAUGCCCAGGAAUGGCACUGGCGCUCACCACUGUCCAUCUCACGCUCGCCAACCUCCUCCAUGGAUUCGAGUGGAGAGAGCCCAGCGGUGAGAGCAUCGACACGAGCAAGGAGCAGUAUGGAUUGGCGCUGCUCUUGGCAAAGAAGCUGCGACUGAUCGCCACCCCACGGCUAGAACAAGGUACCUUAUAGCUCCGAUCCAAAGAAAGCUUGGAAGAAUAGCUUCCUUGACAAACCAUGAAUAAGAAAGAAACCACGAACUUUGCACUAUCUCUCCAAACGGACACUGCCGGCCUCAUCAGGAGCCUCCUUGCGAAUGCGAUUUUUGCAUGGCAUGGAUAUUUUUAUAACAAAUAUAAAGAUAAUUUGUAAGUAUUAAAUAUUCUGAAGAAAUUGUUGAAGACUUGGAAAAGAAUAGACCAAGAGUAGAUUGUUGGAUCUAAUUUGAUUUCCAAGUGUGAUUGAAGCUCUUGUUAAUGUUCAGCUUAUCAGCGGCUUGACAACAUCUACGUUAUUGCUUGCAACGUGCAUAGCUAAUAAGGGGGUCGGCACUCUUGUUCUUCCUUGCAGCCCGCAUAGAUUGGAGCAAGGGAUUGGACAGGUUGCACUCCGAUGACAAGAAGUCCAAAAGCUUAUCUUCAUCUUCGCUUAGAAGAGUUGUGGUGCUCUCCAACAACAGCUUCCAGCAGUGUCCACAUUCCUGAGCUCGACCCUGUGAAGCAGAAACGCACAAGCCCCAAUGAAUUUGAUCCGUGCACCACAUUCUUGCACCAAGCUUCCCCCCACCAUAUGCUUGAGAAACAUCUCCAAGAAGCAGAAGGCAGUCUAGCGGUACCUGGCCUCGUGCACACGCAUCGUGCAGCUCCUUGAAAGCAUCACUAGCCAGUUCAAAGGCAAUGUUCUUGAAGCCCUGCAGCGAGACAGUCAUAAACCAGGUGCCAAACUCUAAAACUGAUCUCCACUUGCUCUCAGAUACCAAGCUUCUCCAAUGCUGGCGCAUCCUCAUCUCUGCUUGUGUUGUGGCUUGCAACUGGCCGUAGUCUGAAAUGCUGGUGUAGAGAUAACUCAGCUUCUGGUGUGCAUUGCCAUGCCUCUAACGCCAUCGUAAACUCUAUCAUCUCAGCUUGGGGGAAGAAAGCCUUGGGAGGGCGUAGCUCUGGGAGAGGCUUCACUUCCAUAGCUUGCCUGUUCAGCCGCCGCUCCAGCACGCUUCCCUUCUGCAAUCUAUUUCCUACCACCUUUCUAAUCUCAGGCUUGGAUAUCCCCUCCCAGGAACCAUACGCCAACACAUCCAGCGACUGUUGGAUUUGGAUGGAAUCCCCCUUGUUCUUCUUCAGUGCCUACAAAGCUUUCGUAAGCAUCAUCAGAUCUGUGGAGCAUGUUCUAUUUUUAUAGCUUGGAUCGUUAAAAGGUACUUUGUUCCAGGCGAGGGGUGGAGAUCAAUCGCAGCUUGUUUGCCAUGAGCAACGUCAAUCCAUAUUGCUCGUUGCUCGUGUUGAUACUCUCACCGCUGGGUUCUCCACUCGAAUCCAUGGAGGAGGUUGGCGAGCGUGAGAUGGACAGUGGUGAGUGCCAGUGCCAUUCCCGGGCAUUGUCGCCGCCCCGAUCCAAACGGCACUGCCUCGAAGUCCCUGCCCCGGAUGUCCAGAUCCGUGCCAAGGAAUCUCUCGGGCCGGAAGAGCAGCGCAUCGUCACCCCAGGCGGAAGAGUCUCUGGCGAUGGCAUAGGCGUUGAUGAGCACCGUCGAAGAAGAGCGGCAACAAGAAGGCGCCAAUCCCGGAAUCCAGCUCGGAUAGGCGCAAGGAGUAGCGAUGGCGGCAGAGGAGGAGGCGGUGAGCAAGGUAGUGGAAUGGCCAGAGGAUGGGGAUUGACGCGAGAAUGGGUAAUCGGCGUGGGCGAGACCCUGGCGGAGGCGGCCUCCAUGCUGAGGCCGCAAGCACUGCGCCAGGUAGUGCCAGUCGCGGUCGCCGAUUCGCUCAUCGCCAGGGCUUCCAAGAUCAUGCACAAGGAGCCCAAUUGCUUGCGCCUGGAGCCGAUUUGCACGGCCAGCUCCAUGAUUUGCUCCAUCUCUUCGAUCUGGCCGGCCUCCCCGACGAAUGUUUGUGUUUAACGGGGACUAUGUGGAUCGAGGAGCGUGGGGAUUCGAGACUUACUUUCUCCUCCUUGCUUGGAAGGUAUGAUAUCGGUUUUUUUUUUUUACUUCUUUCUGGUGGUAGUGAAAGUUGGUAUUUUUCUUCUUUUCUUCAGGUAUUGCUACCUCACCGAGUGUUUCUUCUGCGAGGAAACCACGAGACAAAGUUCUGUACGAGCGUCUACGGCUUCGAAAAAGAGAACUCCGUCAAGUUUGGGGAGCAUUCCAAGCAUGUCUAUCGCAAGCUCUUGGGAUGUUUCGAGUGCCAUCCUCUGGCGGCGGUGAUAGCCGGCAAAGUUUUCAUGGCACACGGUGGCUUGUUCUGGAGCUUAAAACCGGGGCCUUAUACGCGAUCUUUCUUGGUGAGAGCUGCUGCUAAGCUCAAGCUGGGUGAUCUGGACGACCUUGCAAAGUCGAGAAGAGGCGUGCUGGAUCCGUCGGCCAUGGGAAACAACGUGAUACCGGGUGAUAUCUUGUGGUCCGAUCCAUCUCCAAACCCGGGGCUUGCGAGCAACGAAGGUCGAGGGAUCGGGCUUGUUUUUGGACUGGAUUGUACUCAAGAGUUUAUGGACAAGCACAAGCUAAAGGUAAGGUGGUGUUUUGCGUCGUUUGCUCACGAUCAUUGGCAUUGUUCGGCAGUGCAGCUUAUAGUGAGAUGUCACGAGGGGCCGGAUGCGAGACAGAAGCGUCCCGAGAUGGCGAGCAUGGACAAAGGCUACACGAUCGACCACGUUGUCAAGGCUGGAAAGCUCAUCACUCUGUUCAGUGCUCCCGACUAUCCCCAGUUUCAGGUUGGCCUUCUUCAUUUCGUGUUUUCUUUCUCCGUAAAUGCAACGAAGUUUCGAUUGUCAACAAUGGCAGGUGACCGAAACUCGUUUUAACAACAAAGCAGCCUACAUUGUUUUGGAACCACCGGAUUUUUGCAAGCCCGACAUUUGUGUUUUUGAGGCGGUCCUCCCGCGGCCACAUGUAAGCAAUUUCGUUUUGAUACUUCCAUCCACCGCUUUGGUUGCUUUUCCGCAGGUUAUGCCGUAUUACGAUCAUGUUAAUGUUAUGGAUUCAGACGACGAGCUAGAUCUGCCAAAAGACGGAUAAAACAAAUCUAGAAAAAUUCCACGACUGCCACCUUUGAGGUCCUCGUGGGCGUUGGACUUUUAUGCUUGUAGGAGUCAAGAAGAUCAUCCGUGACAAUAUAUUUCCGAGUGAGAGCUGCAAAAGAGCUGCGACAAGGAGAAAAUGGCGAGUGAUUUUGUUUUGGUUGUGGCGGCAGCACUGUCGAUCACUGCUGUACUAUGGAAGCUAUGGAGGAGUAGAAUUAAAUCAUCUCUUCUUCCUCCAGGUCCCAUUGGGCUUCCACUGAUCGGCCAUCUCCACUUGCUCUAUGCAAAUCCUCCGCACACCGUGCUCCAGAGGCUGUCGGCUCGCCAUGGACCGAUCAUGUCGCUGCGAUUCGGGCAUGUGCCAGUGGUUGUCGCCUCCAGCCCAGCGGCCGCCAAGGAGUUCCUCAAGACCCACGACGCCGCCUUUGCGUCUCGCCCGCUGAGUGCCGCCGGGAGGACCAUCGUCCACUACAACGCCGACAUCGUUUUCGCCCCCUAUGGUGACUCGUGGCGGCACUUGCGCAAGAUCGCGACGCUGGAACUCCUCACAGCUCGCCGGAUUGACAUGUUUCGGGGUGCGAGAAUGGAAGAAGUAAGAUCCAUGUGCCGAUCGCUACUAGUAGCAGACGAUCGCGAGAUGGGGGUCGUGGAUGUUCGUGGGCAAGUGACAGCGCUCACCUUCAAUCUCAUCACUUUGAUGCUCAUGGGCAAGCGUUACUUUGGCAAGGAUAUUGAGAAUGAGAAGGGGGCAAAAAAGUUUUUGGAGGUGAUUGCAAGCACGUUUAAGGUAUGUGGAGAGUUUCCAAUUGGGGAUUAUUUCCCGUGGCUUCCUAAAUUCUUGGAUCCGGCUGAACGUCGUAUGCAUUCCUUGGCUAAAUCUUUACAUGAAUUCCUCAGUGACAACAUCAUUGAGCAUGAAAACAAAAGAAAGAACAAGAAGAAGAAUAACAAUGAUGAAGAUUUUUUGGACAUCCUUCUCUCUCUAAAAGACAAUGGUGAUGAGCAUCUACAAAAUGAAAACAUCAUAAGUGUCAUGACAGUAAGAAGAAGAGUUUAUCAAUUCAAUCAAUCAGUCUCAUCACUCGCAAUCUUUUUCUUGGCAGAACUUGGUCACGGCCGGAACCGACACCUCAGCAGUGACGCUCGAGUGGGCGAUGGCCGAGUCAAUAAAAAACCCCACCAUCGCCGCCAAAGCCCGAGAAGAAAUCGAGCUAGUUCUUGGCGAGAAGUGGAGGACAAAGAUGGUGGAAGAGCCUGAUCUUUCACAGCUAACUUAUCUCCAAGCCAUCGUCAAGGAGACACUCCGGCUGCAUCCUGCGGGACCGCUGCUGGUCCCCCACCAAUCCACCGAGGCGGUUAGCAAUGUAAUGGGGUACCAUGUACCGCGCGGCACGACGGUGCUCAUCAACGCCUAUGCCAUCGCCAGAGACUCUUCCGCCUGGGGUGAUGACGCGCUGCUCUUCCGGCCCGAGAGAUUCCUUGGCACAGAUCUGGACAUCCGGGGCAGGGACUUCGAGGCGGUGCCGUUUGGAUCGGGGCGGCGACAAUGCCCGGGAAUGGCACUGGCGCUCACCACUGUCCAUCUCACGCUCGCCAACCUCCUCCAUGGAUUCGAGUGGAGAGAGCCCAGCGGUGAGAGCAUCGACACGAGCAAGGAGCAGUAUGGAUUGACGCUGCUCUUGGCAAAGAAGCUGCGACUGAUCGCCACCCCACGGC